rnacentral:rRNA from 1 species
CGCGGCCUAUCAGCUUGUUGGUGGGGUAAUGGCCUACCAAGGCGACGACGGGUAGCCGGCCUGAGAGGGCGACCGGCCACACUGGGACUGAGACACGGCCCAGACUCCUACGGGAGGCAGCAGUGGGGAAUAUUGCACAAUGGGCGAAAGCCUGAUGCAGCGACGCCGCGUGAGGGAUGACGGCCUUCGGGUUGUAAACCUCUUUCAGCAGGGACGAAGCGUAAGUGGCGGUACCUGCAGAAGAAGCGCCGGCCGACUACGUGCCAGCAGCCGCGGUAAGACGUAGGGCGCGAGCGUUGUCCGGAUUUAUUGGGCGUAAAGAGCUCGUAGGCGGCUUGUCGCGUCGACUGUGAAAACCCGCAGCUCAACUGCGGGCCUGCAGUCGAUACGGGCAGGCUAGAGUUCGGUAGGGGAGACUGGAAUUCCUGGUGUAGCGGUGGAAUGCGCAGAUAUCAGGAGGAACACCGGUGGCGAAGGCGGGUCUCUGGGCCGAUACUGACGCUGAGGAGCGAAAGCGUGGGGAGCGAACAGGAUUAGAUACCCUGGUAGUCCACGCUGUAAACGUUGGGCGCUAGGUGUGGGGGACCUCUCCGGUUCUCUGUGCCGCAGCUAACGCAUUAAGCGCCCCGCCUGGGGAGUACGG